rnacentral:ncRNA from 1 species
UAUGUAGAGGCGCGGUGAUUAUAAGUAUCACGUAUGAUGAGACUGACUCAGAUGAAGAUGUGAGAAAGGAUGAACCGCCGAAGUUCCGGAUAUUCAGUGUAUUCGGUGCUGGGGCUGCAGAUAACAUCUGCAGGACUGUCACUUUAAGUGAUGAGCUAUUCUUGAUGUAGCGUCAUCACAACUAGUGGAGAGCUACGGUU